UACAUGAAGGAAAUAUUCUAUAGAUAGACCUUAACCUUUAAAAGCACCUCCCAAUGUCAGGAUUAUUUGAGUUUCAGUUUAGUUUCUCACAUUCGACUUUUGCUUUUUAUUUAUCACGGCUGCAAUCCAAUAAUAAGACGAACUUGAUGAUGAAGCCACUGUUCAUGGUCCUCCUCCUUUCUGCAACCAAAGAGCUGAUGAGGAAAGGCUCGCUGUGUGAGGCUUCUCCGUGUCAGUCGUGUUCAUCAUAUAAAGAGUCCAACCUCUAUGUCCGGGAGGGGGAGAUGGCAGUGCUGAAGUUCCGAAUACCACAGGUCUGGAGGACUGAGCACAACAACGGAAACGUAACCCUGACAUGGAGCAACCACUCUGGGCCUGGGAGAUGGGUGUCUGGGGACACUCUGGUUAUCCUGAGGGUCUCUCCCAACGACGAAGGUUCCUACUCCUGCUCACUAAUUGGUGCCAGUGGUCAGGCUGUGGCCAUGGGGAGGUUUUACAUCAAGGUGUACUCUGACAAGUGCUACACAGACUUGGCCGUGUAUCCAACUUACUGUUAUGAGGGAGAGUCCUGCUAUCAACUCCAAUGUAGUGAAGACAACAUCCCACAGAACUUCACAAGACUUAACUAUACGUGGUACAAGGACUGUGACACAGAGUUGGACUCCUCUUUUGAAAAUGGAUACCUGUCAAGUGCUGAUGUAAAGGACAGUGGCAAUUAUACAUGCAUGUCAUACUAUGUCUAUAACUCACACCUUUCUGAUGGACAAGUGUUUAGGAAGUCCAGAACCGUGGAGUGGACAGUUGAACCUGGAUCUGUUCCUUUAGUUCCAAAGAUCAUCAGCCCAUAAGGAUGGAGAUUAUUUUGAAGUAGAUAUGGGUGAAUUUCUCUACUAUAUUUACAACAUCCCAUAAACUCUCUGGAUGAGUUAAUGUGUUUGUGUCUGACUGCGUCUUUGUGUGAGCCAAAUCAACCCAGAUCCCCUGUUGUGGUGGUUUGUAGAGCUGUCAUUGAAGAUCCUUUUGCAAACCUUUUCUGGUUGGCAAACAAGUCUUUUGUGGAAAAGGACAAUGACAAAUUGCCAGUGUUUUAUAAUUCUUCAAAAGAGCGAGGCCAUGAAGAGGCAUCUCUGGUGAUAAAGCAAGUGUCAGAGGAGCACCUGAACAGUAACUACACCUGUAAAUUGCAGUCACCCUCUGGGGUCGUCCACGUUUCCAUCACCUUAAAACAGAAGAGUAAGUCUGCCAGGUUUCUUAAAGGGAUAUUCCACCACAUUGCAACCACAACUGAAACGGCAUGUCUAUACAGGUAUUUGCUGUUCUAUGCCAUGAAUAUGCUAUAGCUACCACAAACCAGUGUAUGAAUUC